rnacentral:rRNA from 1 species
UUGUUAAAAUUUAAACUUUAUUUUGGGUUAAUUAUAAUAUAUUUUGAUAUAAUAAAAUUUAAACAGUUUUAGGUUAAAUUUAAAUUGUUUUUUUUUUUAUGUUAUAAUUUUAAGUUUUGUUAAACGAAUUAGAUUAGUACCUAAUUAGACAAAUUUUAAAAGUGCAGAAGUAAAGUUGGGUUUAAACUGAAAGAAUAUUGGCAGAUUUUCUAAAUUAUCUUUGGAGGUUGAGUGAUAAAUGAGAACCCCCAUUAACUACUAGUUUUUUUGGCUCAUGUAUGAUCGUUUAUUUUAUGCUUAAAGUGUAUAAUAAAAAAUUUUUAAUUUUUUAAAACAGAUAUAUAUUUGGUUAAUAAAAAAGUAAUAUUUGGCCUACAUUGUUGUAAUUUGUGGAUAUUAAAUGUGGUAUUUAAUUGAAAAUGUAAAAGACAGUAAAAAAAUUUUUAUGGUUUUUUGAAGAGUAUUUAGAAGUGGUACAAAUCAUCCAUCAAUUGCCCCCA